rnacentral:rRNA from 1 species
UACGGGGGGGGCAAGCGUUGUUCGGAAUUACUGGGCGUAAAGGGCUCGUAGGCGGCCAACUAAGUCAGACGUGAAAUCCCUCGGCUUAACCGGGGAACUGCGUCUGAUACUGGAUGGCUUGAGUUUGGGAGGGGGAUGCGGAAUUCCAGGUGUAGAGGUGAAAUUCGUAGAUAUUCGGAAGAACACCAGUGGCGAAGGCGGCUCACUGGCCCGGUACUGACGCUGAGGUGCGAAAGCGUGGGGAGCAAACAGG